rnacentral:rRNA from 1 species
GAUUAAGUUAUUAAGGGCGCACGGUGGAUGCCUUGGCACUAGAAGCCGAUGAAGGACGUUACUAACGACGAUAUGCUUUGGGGAGCUGUAAGUAAGCUUUGAUCCAGAGAUUUCCGAAUGGGGAAACCCAGCAUGAGUUAUGUCAUGUUAUCGAUAUGUGAAUACAUAGCAUAUUAGAAGGCACACCCGGAGAACUGAAACAUCUUAGUACCCGGAGGAAGAGAAAGAAAAUUCGAUUCCCUUAGUAGCGGCGAGCGAAACGGGAAGAGCCCAAACCAACAAGCUUGCUUGUUGGGGUUGUAGGACACUCUAUACGGAGUUACAAAGGACGACAUUAGACGAAUCAUCUGGAAAGAUGAAUCAAAGAAGGUAAUAAUCCUGUAGUCGAAAAUGUUGUCUCUCUUGAGUGGAUCCUGAGUACGACGGAGCACGUGAAAUUCCGUCGGAAUCUGGGAGGACCAUCUCCUAAGGCUAAAUACUCUCUAGUGACCGAUAGUGAACCAGUACCGUGAGGGAAAGGUGAAAAGCACCCCGGAAGGGGAGUGAAAUAGAACCUGAAACCGUGUGCUUACAAGUAGUCAGAGCCCGUUAAUGGGUGAUGGCGUGCCUUUUGUAGAAUGAACCGGCGAGUUACGAUUUGAUGCAAGGUUAAGCAGUAAAUGUGGAGCCGUAGCGAAAGCGAGUCUGAAUAGGGCGUUUAGUAUUUGGUCGUAGACCCGAAACCAGGUGAUCUA